AGAAACAUGUCUGAGAAAAGAAUUACUUUGAUAGAGUAAAUUAUAGAGGUUUAAAUCCUCUUGUUUCUA
rnacentral:tRNA from 1 species